rnacentral:rRNA from 1 species
AGUGAACGCUGGCGGUAGGCCUAACACAUGCAAGUCGAACGGCAGCACAGUAAGAGCUUGCUCUUACGGGUGGCGAGUGGCGGACGGGUGAGGAAUACAUCGGAAUCUACUUUUUCGUGGGGGAUAACGUAGGGAAACUUACGCUAAUACCGCAUACGACCUACGGGUGAAAGCAGGGGAUCUUCGGACCUUGCGCGAUUGAAUGAGCCGAUGUCGGAUUAGCUAGUUGGCGGGGUAAAGGCCCACCAAGGCGACGAUCCGUAGCUGGUCUGAGAGGAUGAUCAGCCACACUGGAACUGAGACACGGUCCAGACUCCUACGGGAGGCAGCAGUGGGGAAUAUUGGACAAUGGGCGCAAGCCUGAUCCAGCCAUACCGCGUGGGUGAAGAAGGCCUUCGGGUUAUAAAGCCCUUUUGUUGGGAAAGAAAAGCAGCAGGUUAAUACCCCGCUGUUCUGACGGUACCCAAAGAAUAAGCACCGGCUAACGUCGUG